AAGGGAUAGAGACAGUGACAAACCCUGCCUCUAUAACUAUUGUAUAAAAAAAUGUGAAAACUUUGUUGCUGUAUAAUCAAAAGGCUUAGGCUAGAUCAAUGGUACAGCUGCAGAGGACUUUUGACUGUUACUCAUUUCACAAGAAAGACCCCUACUUUUUACUCACUACAAAACAAACUACAAACACUAUGACCUCUAUAAGGACUGUGCUUGACACUAAUAAGAAGAGAAAUAAUUCUCUUUGUGUUCGAGUUCUCCCUCAAUCCUCAGAAACACAGAG